rnacentral:rRNA from 1 species
UACGGAGGGUGCAAGCGUUAUCCGGAUUCACUGGGUUUAAAGGGUGCGUAGGUGGGCAGGUAAGUCAGUGGUGAAAUCUCCGGGCUUAACUCGGAAACUGCCAUUGAUACUAUCUUUCUUGAAUAUCGUGGAGGUCAGCGGAAUAUGUCAUGUAGCGGUGAAAUGCUUAGAUAUGACAUAGAACACCAAUUGCGAAGGCAGCUGGCUACACGAAUAUUGACACUGAUGCACGAAAAGCGUGGGGAUCAAACAGGG